rnacentral:lncRNA from 1 species
AACACGGGGAUCUUUGAAGUGGUACUUUGACUUGCCAUACAAACUGGUGGGUCUCAUUGUAAAAUCUGGAUCUAUAUGUGUUUAAUAUGUUCAUGUUGACAACACUAUAAUGAUAAAUAAGGCUAAAUUUUCAUAAGUCAGAAUAUAAAACUCUUACAGACAAUUUCAAAUGGGUUCCAGAAAAAAAAACGGUUGUGUAUUUUUAUCUAUUUGCUAAAUUUCUUCCUAAAAUAAAACACA